UACGAGGAGCGAGCGUUGUCGGAUUUACUGGGCGUAAAGCGCACGUAGGCGGAUCGUUAAGUCGGGGGUGAAAUCCUGGAGCUCAACUCCAGAACUGCCUUCGAUACUGGCGAUCUUGAGUCCGGAAGAGGUGAGUGGAACUCCUAGUGUAGAGGUGGAAUUCGUAGAUAUUAGGAAGAACACCAGUGGCGAAGGCGGCUCACUGGUCCGGUACUGACGCUGAGGUGCGAAAGCGUGGGGAGCAAACAGG
rnacentral:rRNA from 1 species